UCUAAAUUAUAUCAAACAUUUAUCUCUACGAAAUAAAUAUUAUUCGAGUUGUUAACUGACCCAUAAACGUGUUAGCUGAUACUCCCGGGUUUUGUUUAUAAUAUUAUUGUUAUUGCAUGGGUAAUACCUGUCGAUUUUAGUGAACCCACACGAAUUCGUCUUAUAGCGCCUUUUUAUCAAUUUAUUGAUUUACCGGCGUAG